rfam:Streptomyces nanshensis strain SCSIO 10429 scaffold45, whole genome shotgun sequence.
CUUCACCGACCCCAGAAGCAGCGGCCGUUCGCGCUCCUGCCCGUACGUCGCCAACAACGCCUGCGCCUC